GGACGCCUCAUGCCUCAACCCUUUCUCGAUAUUAAGGUGGCGCCUCAUGUCCUUAAAGCGAGCCUAAGCGAUCUCUAUAGCUAGAGGCGUUAUUUCACUGUUUGACCUGCUGGCAAUGGCCCAGACAGUGCUACGUUUGUGGUUUUUGACACAGAGAUGACAAAACUCACCAAGAAAGAUGCAGCGACACUGGCUCUUGGGGAGUGGCGGUGAAGGAUCUGAGCUGAGCUAUCAAGAUCAGUAGAAGAGCUAGCUGGCAAGCAAUGCGUCUUUCAAGUUCGGGUAACACCAUACAAUUUCAUCCCCAACCACCAUACCUUCACCGUCUCUGCUAUCACUGAAGAUGUGUUCUUCAGUGUGUUCCCCAACACUCCUGUCA